UACAGAGGUGGCAAGCGUUGUUCGGAAUUACUGGGCGUAAAGGGCGCGUAGGCGGCCGCCUAAGUCAGACGUGAAAUCCCCAGGCUUAACUUGGGAACUGCGUCUGAUACUGGGUAGCUUGAGUUCGGGAGAGGAAUGUGGAAUUCCAGGUGUAGCGGUGAAAUGCGUAGAUAUCUGGAGGAACACCGGUGGCGAAGGCGGCAUUCUGGACCGAAACUGACGCUGAGGCGCGAAAGCCAGGGGAGCAAACGGG
rnacentral:rRNA from 1 species